GACGGGGGAUGCAAGCGUUAUCCGGAAUGAUUGGGCGUAAAGGGUCCGCAGGUGGCCCGGUCAGUCCGCUGUCAAAGCCUGGGGCUCAACCCUGGAGAGGCGGCGGAGACCACCGGGCUUGAGUCCGGUAGGGGCAGAGGGAAUUCCCGGUGGAGCGGUGAAAUGCGUAGAUAUCGGGAGGAACACCAGUGGCGAAGGCGAUUACCUGGGGUUGAUCUGACGCUGAGGAGCGAAAGCUAGGGGAGCAAACGGG
rnacentral:rRNA from 1 species